rnacentral:SRP_RNA from 1 species
UUCUAUGCUAGGCUGGAGGGUUGGUUCUCCUCUGUUACGCUCAACGAACCUUAGGAGCGGGCCGAAGCCCAGGGGGCGGUUUUCCUCUGUAAAGGCAGCCUUGACCUCGACGUUGAGGCUCUGUCUCGCAGGAUUGAAAUUUUUGUGAAAUGGGUCAGGCCAGGAAUGGAGCAGCCCUCAGCAUCAUUUUCGGUGCUUGUGAGGUAGCGGAGCUGAGAAAAGGCCAAGAUUACUGUUUUUGCAAAGGUCUAUCCACCUCUGGGCACGCACUUAC